GAGUGCGGAAAGGAGGAAUGGACGAUUAAAAGCAUUGGAUUCUGAGAUUGAGUUGCAUCGAAAGAAGCUAAGCUUUUACCAGUCAAUACGGCCUGUGAAGAAACCCGAAGAGAAAGCUGUCGAGGAGAUACCUCUUGAACCGUUUAUUCCUCUUACGAAGGAGGAGGAGUCUUUGAUCAAACGUGCUUUUUCACCCAUCAACAGGCAGAAGGUCUUGGUCACUCACAAGAAUUCAAAUAUUGAUAUCACUGGAGAAAUUUUGCAGUGCCUGGGACCAGGUGCAUGGUUAAAUGACGAGGUCAUAAAUUUGUACCUUGAGUUGCUAAAAGAAAGAGAAAAGAGAGAGCCACAGAAGUUUUUGAAAUGCCAUUUCUUCAGCACUUUUUUCUACAAAAAGUUAACAAGCGGGGGGGAGUUCUAUGAUUAUAGAGCUGUCAGAAGAUGGACUACAGAAAAGAAGUUGGGAUACUUCCUGAUUGAACGUGAUAAAAUAUUUGUUCCUGUUCAUAGAGAGAUACAUUGGUGUUUGGCAAUUAUUAAUAAAAAGGAUCAGAAGUUCCAAUAUCUUGAUUCACUCAAAGGAAGGGACUUGAGGGUGCUGGAAAAUCUGG
rnacentral:misc_RNA from 1 species